AUUGUGACGCAUAAGGGCUUGCAUCCCUGAUUCAUCUAUGAAUUUUGGUCCAUUUGGUUCAUGUAUUAUCAUAUGCUUAUGAUCUUUAUGAUUCAACUGAUCAAAAAUUUCCGAUUUGGUUUCUUCAAUGAUCAUUUAAAAAGUCAGGUCCAUAGUUUCUUACAAGAUUCAUGUUCAAACUUAUCCAUUCAAUCCAAAUAUCAAGUGCAAGUCAUGUUCACAUAAAAUCCAUUCAAGGUGUCUUAUUUCAUUCAAAAUGUCAAUUCCAUCAUUACAAUCCAUCACAAGUGUUCAUACAUUACAAAAAUUACACAACAAUUAUGUUGACCAAAUGUUAACUUUGGUCAAUAGUUGAAUUUUUGGUCAAGUUUGACCAAAGUCAAGUCAACCACUCUUCAUCCUAAAACCCUAAAUCCCCAUCCUAUUUCUAAUCUGAUAUUCAAUGUUUGACUCUUGAUCUUUUGUUGACCAUUCCAUGAUGGAUACUUUAAAUUACAACUUGGAUGCCAUGAUUUGUUGUCCAACCAUUGUCCACUUCAUAGCAUGCUUGAUUGAUGAACAUAAACCAAGCCAGUGAAUCAAGAUCAUAAUUUGAAAUGAGAUCAGAAAUGCAACAUAAUACAAAUAAAACAUGGCAUAUUCAUCAUUAUCAAUCAUUAGCAUUCAUUCCCAAUCAUUAGCAAUCAUUAGCAUUUACUAAAUCAUUAACAAGCAUUUAACCCUAACCAAUUCAUUAACUAUUAUGUGUUCACACUAACUUUACCACGUUCAUUAGCAAGUCUAUUUAAGUUUUACCAACAUUACAGACUUAACUCCAUUCUAAACUUCCAUUCAUCAUCACCAAAUCAAAACACCAUUGGCCUAUUUGCAUCGAUACUGCUAGCAGGGCACUUCUAAUUGAACUAAGACACAAACAAUUAGCUUUUACAUUACAGUUCCAACACAUUUGAGCUAACUAACAUCAUGCAUCCUUUUCAUAAUUCCUAUCAGUAUCCAAUUAAUAUAACAACUGGCCAAUUUCUCCAACACCUAGCUAUUCCAAACUUCAGAUUAAUAAAUAAGUUAAACUAAUAUUUUUUUGCAUUAUGCACAUUUUAAUGGGUUAUUCACUAUCUGUCAUUAAAGUGAAAAAUUUUACUAACUUAUGGCUAUUAUUCACAUUCACAUUACAAAUUUCAGUAGAAUAAUAUUACCAAUAGCCAUCACACAACCACUAACAGAAAAUCGAAACUAACAUUCAUUCACUAUGGAAUCAGUACAUGACAUACCUCACAACAAUCUGUAGAAAGCAUGAGCAUUGGAAGCCAUCGAGCCAGCCAUCCCGCAUCACUAAUUAAGCAUCACACCACGCAAAUGAAAAUCUUGCAGCAAGUGUACACAACCUGCACCAAAUCAAGCAAAAUGGCAGCAUUUCACAAUUAGUAGUUCAGUAUUAUCUUACACACAUCACUAAGCCAAUUCAACACAUACAAACAGAACUCAAAAUCAUAACAAACCAUCCACACUUCCAAGGCUCAAGCAAUAUUUAGAUUUGCUUAUGAUUCACAAGGAGCACGUCCAACCUACAUAAACCAGCUCAACAUACAUAAUCCAAACAUUCGAAAAUAAUACAUCGUAAGCACAAAACCAUACACAUGCUAACAUCCAAACUCAAGCAACAUAACAGGCUUCCUUAUGCCAAGUUAGAACUAACAUAAUUCUGACACUAACAGCCUAACCUCUUUUUUAUAUCUCAUAGUCAAUUUUGAAUUUCAUAAUAAUAAUAGUUAACCAAUUUAAGUAAUAGAUUAACACUAAUGUCAACAAAUUUUCUAACAGAAUUUCAAGCAUUGACAUAAUUAACCACCUGUUAACUGAGUUUCCAAACAAAUAACCGAUUUCCCUUCACUCACCUCUAACUAACAUUUCAACCUCCUAACUGUUUCAACUAACUAACCACUUUUCAACUAAUCUUAACAAACUUCUCUAACAGAAUGGAUGGAGAGGGAUGGAGUAAUAGAAUCAUCCGAAUCAGAAGGUUAUAAAAGGAGCUCACCCUUCACCAAGUUCAGACUCUGAUUUUCUCACUAAGAAUUAGACCUUGAUUCUGCAAGUGCCUCAACGGAACCUCAAUUCUACAAGUGCCUCAACGGAACCUCGAUUCUGCAAGUGCCUCAACAGAACCUCCUUUUUGCAAGAGCCUCAACCAAACCUUUAUCCAACAAGAGUUCAACCGAAUCUUCGGUUUGCGAAGGCUUCAAUCACAAGAGAGAAGGCAUCAUUUCCACCAUUUUUCUUAGAGCUUCAGAAUCCGAAAUAGAAGCUACAUCGGGAAGGAGGAAAGGAGAAGAUACGCAAAAUGGAUCAAAGCUCGAAUGUGCCACCUGGAACCUGGAAGAUCAACAGAAGCGUAUCAAUUCGUCCUUGGUGCGAGGUAUUCGUUUUACUUCUCCAAGAAUUCACAUCGUUUAACUGGAGGGAAAACAAGCAUGCGGCGCCUCAUGUAGAGCAAACAGGAUAUGAACGCAGACCUUGAAGAGAGUGUGGAAGCGAGCGGCAGGAACAAAGUACGGCACCGUGAGGAGUCUCUUUACAGGUUUGAAUUCAUUGAAUCUUUAGCUUCAGUCACAUAGGUUAAAGAAUGAAGGGAAUGGAUCCUGGAUUGGAUUGGAAGGUUGGGCCUAAGGUCCAAAACGUUUAUGCAUUUCGCUCCCUGCACUCCCGUGUCUAGGGGUGUUCAGAUCCAAUCCAAUCAAAAAAAAAAACCAAAAACCGAACCGAAAAAACCGAAAUCCAAAAAAACCGAUUUUUUUUGGAUGUAUUUGGAUCACCAUGUUGCAUAACCGAUCUGUUCGGUUUCGGUUUACGGUUGGCUUCAUGAAAACCGAACCGGUCCAAACCGAACCGGUAUUACUUCCAUUUACUCAUCCUAUUAAAUUAAUUAUAUUCACUUUAAUGCAGCUUUGGUAUGUUAGUGUCAUAUAUAUUUGUCAUAUAUUUAAUUUAUAUUACAAGUCUCCUAUAAGCACUAAGUAAGCAGGUCUCCAUAUAAAAUAUUUAUUACAGCAAUAGCAAUGUCUAUUUCGUUGGGAUAGAUAUUGUCCAUAUAUUAUAAUGAAUCUUUGCAACAAUGACAUCAAAUAGCCAUAUAAUAUGAAAUUAGAUAUUGUCUUAGUAGACGUUGGAGGCAUAAUUGUAACUGGUAUUGAAAUAUAUUCGUUUUAAAUUUCACAGUGUUGAUUUAAAAAAACGAUUCAACCGAACCGAAGUAAACCGUAUAAAUUGGAUUGGAUUGGAUUGGAUUUUUCUUGUUGUCAUCCAAAAACGAACCAAACCGUAUGCUUUAUAUAUUUUGGAUCGGAUGAAUUUUGUCUCAAAACCGAUCCAAACCGGACCGUGAACACCCCUACCCGUGUCCGCUUGGUAUUGGCUUUUUUUUUUUUUGCAAGAAAGAUUCUGGGCUUAAGCCCUUCAUUGCACCACACCUAAUUCGUUUUCACACCCAUGUGCUAACGGGCCUGACCCCCUCCUUUCCUCUAGGGCCGAUUUCAGCUCCUGAUUGGGCUUGGGUUUUUUUGUGUUGGAUUUAAUUAAAAAUUGGUAGAUUAAUUAGUCAUUAGGGAAUUUAGUUAAUGAUUAGGAUUUAAUUAGCGAUUAAAUUCUUGAUUAGUGAAUAGUUAGCUAGUAGCUAAUUAGAUUUAGAAGUAAAUAAGAUUAAUUAGUUUUUAAUUGAUAUUUUGAAAAAUGACCUUUUUACACUUUUAGGAUUAUUUUGGUAUUUUGACCAUAAAAAUAGAUGAUCCCCUAGGGUUAAUCUUGACAUAGAAUUUUAAUCAAGUUUCAACAAUUAGAUGUCCCCUUAGGUAUAACCCUUGAAUAAUUCUAACCCCCGAUUCAAGUUGAUCAAAAGAGAUUUUGAUCAACUAAAUCCUUGAAUAUUGUAUAACCCGCGGUCUAAAAACCCGUGGUCACUUAAUAAUACUUUUUCUGUAUGCUGUGAAGCUCGAGGCUUCAAGUCAAAAUCUCAAUCAAGGCAUCCUCAAUCAUACCAAGCAGUGGAUCAUACAAAGUAACAUCAAAGGUGGUUCUUCAAGAGCUUGUUAAUCAAUGUUAGAAUUGUGUGGCAUGAGCCUUAAGCAAUACAGAAGGGAUGAGACUGGAGAAUUCCUACCCUCAUUCUGAAGAUCUUUGGGUACGGCUGUUGUACCCCAAAAUUUUCCUCCCCAUUUUUUUUCACAUCUCAAUCCAAUUAUUUGGCUAGGGUUCAGUUGCAUACAUUAAUAACUCAUGCAUAAGCAUCAUUCGUUGUUAUGGAUUCCAAAUGCUUGGCUUCUGGAGUUGGGGUUCGUUUGUGCAAUAACUGGAAAGGUAUGGCUUAGACUGGCACCAAGGCUCUUGGGCCUCCAAAACCCUAAAUCUUCUAAGGAUGGGGAUCAUGGAGCUUUGGAUUUGCUUGAGAAGCAUCUUGAUUGGUUCAAAGACCUAGAUUGAAGGUUAUGCCUCACAAAACCCUAAUCAGGGAUGCUUGGUACUUGUGUGCCAUUGUGAUAUGACUUUUGACCAUGGGAUUGACUGAAACUCUAAUUCAUGAGGAUGAGGUCCCUGACCAUCUUGUUAUGCAUCAUCAACCAUUAAACUUGCUUUGGGCAUAAGAAUCAUUCAUUUGACCUACAUGUCUACAUGCUUGGGAUUUCAUCUGGUUGAAGGUUUUGUUCAAGCAUCCAUACAUAUGAGUUCUACUUGGACAUUCUUAAUCCAUUGAUUCUAAGCCCAUGGUACUUUCAAGAUCAAAGGUCUUUGGUUUUUAUUCAUGUUUGUAUUGGUGCUUUAAUCUUUGGUCCAUUGAUUGUCCUUGAUCCUCUUUGAUUCAUAGGGGGCAUUUAUUCUUGAUUCACCCAUGUAUCUUGGUCCAUUUGGUUCAUGUGUUAUUAUGUGCUCAUGAUCCUUAUGAUUCAAUUGAUUAAUGAUGUUUUGAUUCAUUCAUAAACCAAUUUGUUUUUUUUAUUAAAGUUCAUUCAAAAGUCAAAGUUGGUUCACAUCCAAUUUAUGAUCAUUUCAUUCAAAUUAUUGACCACUUCAUUCAUUUAUUAAUGCACAAAUAAUCCAUUACAAAAAGAAAUAAAAAAUUACAUCUUUCAUAGUUGACUUUUUGGUCAACUGUUGACCUUUUGGUCAAACAGUUGACCAAAGUCAACCAUGGAAUUCCUUCAUUCUAAACCUAAUUUUGAGUGCAUCUCCAUCCAUACUUGACUCCAUAAGCUUCCAUGUGGAUUUACAAGCAAGCAAACUCCAUUUUGUAACUUUGGUCAUCAUGCCUUGGAUUUAGUCAUUUUUGCAAUACCAUGGUCUUCUUUCCUUGACAAAACCAUACCACAUUGUUAUAAGCUUUGGCUUGCCUCAUGCCAAAUCAUGCAAUCACAUACAUUACAUAAACAUUGCCUAAAACAAAUUGAAAACCAUUUGUUAAAAGCCAACAAAACCAAAGCUUACCACAUGUUGUUAACUUGCUGCAACUUGGCCUUUUGCCCCUGCUUGCUACAGCUUGAAACCUUACCCUGUGUAACACUCCUUUUUAUACCCCAAAAUAAUUAACAUAUAAUCAGAGUGAAUAAGCACGCAUAUAAACAAAAGGGCGUCACAUCGACAUUUUCAAAAACUAAAAGCUUUCAAAAACCAACAUCAUUCAUCAUCAAUAUACAAUACACCUGGUCAUUUAAAAUAACACAUUUCAAAUAUCAUGAAUAUACAAGAAUAUGCGUUCACAGCGGAAAAUAAUGAAUACUCAUGUAUUUCAUAAAAUGAUCCAUGUCCCAUACCAUGAUCAUCUCUCAAUAAUCUCCUGAAGAUAAAAUAAAACCUUAUCCAGAAUAUUUGGCACUAUAGCCUUCCAAACCACAAAUUGCAAAUAAACAUGUUCACAAGUAAUAACGUAAUACAUAUCCAAUUAAGACAUGAGUUCAAUACUACUAAUCUACCCAGUGUUACAUGACCAGAGCAUUGACUCGCUACCUAGUCUCUAAAACCAAAACACGGAAACUCUCCGGCUAAAUCUCGAGUGAGCUACAUUCCACUUACUUCCGCAAUACUACUCUUGAGUAUCUGCACGAUGCCCAUGUGAAGGCAACAUUCAAACAGAAGGGUGAGAAUUUGAAUCAUUAUGAAGAAGUAUAAUAAAGCACAAUGGUUAAAUCAACAAUUAAAGGAAUUCAUCACACCUUGUAUAACCAUGUAAAUAAUACUAACCAAUAUUCAUUUCACAUGUUUCAAGCAUACAUCAAAACUCAAGGAGUAUAAUAUUAAAAUUCAAAACUAUAUUCCCAAAUAUACACAUCACUAUAAUUAUCACAUAAUCACAUAUUUUACCAAGUUAUGUAUCCAACAUCACCAAUUUCAAUUACCAUAUCUCAUACACACAUAACAAUCACAUCAAUGCAUAUAUUCAAUUAUCACAUAACUCUAAUGUGACUCAAUGUAAGACAUGUGACUCUAUGCAUGUGGUUCCGCAAUGUGAACCCAACGUUUCACCGCUUUUCGAUUCAAUAUCUAGAAUCCAAGCCAUGCUUUCGAUCCGGACAAGAUCAAAGCCACUACGUCUAUUUCCAAUUAAGGAUCAACGUCUUCUACGCCUAUUUCCAUUCAAGGAUCAACGUCUAUUACCAUGUGAACCCACAGUUUCACCGCUUCCACCAUACAGCCGACUAUGCCAUGAAUGAAUAUACAAAUACCAACAAUAUAUGCAAUUAAGAUCAUCUCUACCAUCUUAACAUUCCACAUAUAACCAUAAUUCAACUCUAUGAAUUAUCCACCAAUGGUACGUAUACACAUUCAUAACAAAUAUACUAUUCACAUAUAUAGGCUAAUCAUCAAAUACGCACACUUAGAUUUUAUUUCAAAAUGGUUACAGCAUUUAAAAGUUCUCAAUUUUCCCUUUUUCUACAGUGGUAACCGAUUAACGCUUUUGGGGUAACCGGUUAACACGAAACAAAAUUCACUUCCUGGCAGAUUUUUAUAUACGUAACCAGUUAACACAUUUGGGGUAACCGGUUAACACGAAAACAAAAUUCAGUCUCUGGGUAGAUUUUUAGCAUGUAACCGGUUAACAUGUUUGGGGUAACCGGUUACUCAGUUUAAAACUGGAAUUUUUCUUAACGUUACCAUUACUGAAAUGAAAUUUAAUAAAUUAAGUGGCUUCUCAAUCUAUCUCUCAAUUUCACCCAUAUACCAAUUCCCAAACGCAAUUAAUCAUCACAAAUCAAAGAUUACUCAUCAAAACCUAACAAUUUCAAAACCAUCAAAAUUAGGAAUUUCAACCUAAACAUAUUUCUACCCAUUGACCCAAUCAUACUAACCCAUAAUAAUAAGGAUUCUCCCCCUUACCUCUUCAAUUUUCUGGAAAUCUUAGUUUUUCCCUUGUUCUUCCCCUCUUCUCCUUACUCUUCCUCUCUUCUUUCUUGUUGCCUUGAAAUGACCAAGUAGGUGCUACUUCUCACUCUCCUCACCUCUUACUAUCCUAGUAUUAUAUUUGGGCUUAAGCAAUGAUACCUCUAAUUUAAUUAUUAGGCCCAAUAAGACAUAGUAUUAUAAUAUCUCUCUUUAGUUCAAUUAAAUUAAACCAACACAAUAUACACCAAGUCAAUUAAUAUAAUCAAUUAUUAUACUACCUAACAACCAAUUAAUUAAUUAACACUCCAAAUAAAUAAAAUAACAUAGUAUAAUAAUAUAAGAAAUAAAUACUAAAAAAAAUGGAUUGUUACAACUCUCCCCCACUUAAAAGAUUUUCGGCCUCGAAAAUUACCUCAAACGAACAACUCCGGAUAUGAUUCCUUCAUCUUAUCCUCGAGUUCCCAAGUGAUAUUGCCAUUGGCGGCUCCGCCCCAUAUCACUUUCACCAAAGCAAUCUCCUUACCACGAAGCUUCUUCACUUCUCGAUCUUCAAUUCGCAUAGGUGAUGUAUCAACCGUCAAAUUAUCCCUCACUUGAACAUCAUCUAAUGGAACAACAUGCGAUGGAUCCGCAAUGUACCUCCUCAAUUGAGACACAUGGAACACAUCAUGAAGAUUAGAAAGAGACGGUGGCAAUGCAAUCUGAUAUGCCACUUCACCUACCCUCUCGGAAAUCUGAUAAGGACCAAUGAAACGUGGCGUCAACUUACGCGACUUCAAAGCUCUACCAACACCCGUUAUUGGCGUAACUCGAAGAAACACAUGCUCAUCUUUCUCAAACUCAAGAGUCUUCCUCCUCUUAUCAUGAUAACUCUUUUGAUGACUCUGAGAAGCAUUCAUCUUCUCUUGAAUCAUCUUAAUCUUAUCCGUAGUCUCUUGAAUCAACUCGGGUCCAACCACAACACUCGCUCCCGAUUCGUACCAACACAAAGGAGUUCUACACCUUCAACCAUAAAGAGCCUCAAAAGGUGCCAUUCCAAUACUCGAAUGGAAAUUGUUGUUAUACGUUAACUCGAUCAAAGGCAAGAAACUAUCCCAAUUUCCUCCUUGUUCCAAAACAUAAGACCUCAAAAGAUCUUCAAGUGACUGAAUAGUCCUCUCCAUUUGACCAUCAGUUUGCGGAUGAUAUGCUGAACUCAAACGCAACUUCGUACCCAAAUCACUUUGCAAACCUUCCCAAAAUCUCGAAGUGAACCUCGGGUCUCUAUCUGAAACAAUGCUCGACAUAAUACCAUGCAAACACACAAUCCUCUCGAUGUACAACUUAGCAAGUCGCUCUAUCGAAUAAUCCAUCCUCAUCGAAAUAAAAUGAUCAUAUUUCGUCAACCUGUCCACAACGACCCAAAUCGCCUCACAAUUACUCGAUGUUCUCGGCAAACCCGAAACAAAAUCCAUAGAGAUACUAUCCCAUUUCCACUCGGGAAUAGAUAACGGUUGCAUUUUUCGUCAACCUGUCCACAACGACCCAAAUCGCCUCACAAUUACUCGAUGUUCUCGGCAAACCCGAAACAAAAUCCAUAGAGAUACUAUCCCAUUUCCACUCGGGAAUAGAUAACGGUUGCAUCAAACCAGACGACUUUUGAUGUUCAAUCUUUGACUUUUGCUAAGUCAAACAUGAAUACACAAAUUCCACUACAUCCUUCUUCAUACCUUGCCACCAAAAAAUCUUCCUCAAGUCUUGAUACAUUUUAGUAGCACCAGGAUGAAUACUCAGACCACUUCUAUGCCUUUCCUCAAGAAUCCUCUUUCUCAAAUCCGCAACAUCUGGAACACAAACUCGAUCACGACACCUCAUGAUACGAUUCUCAUCAAUCUGAAGGUCACCACCUUUGCCUUGAUUAAUCAAUGUCAUAACAUCGACUAAUUUCAAAUCUGACUUUUGACCUUCUCUAAUCUCGUCAAGAAUGUCACACGUAAACUCCAACAUACCAAGCUUAAAACACGAAGACAUCGCUUCCCAAACCAAACUCAAAUCUCUAAAUUGCUCCAACAAUUCAAACUCUCGAAUCAUCAACAUAGACAUGUGCAAUGACUUCCUACUCAAUGCAUCGGCUACAAUAUUCGCCUUUCUAGGAUGGUAAUUCAAACCAAAAUCAUAAUCUUUCAAGAAUUCCAACCAUCUCCUUUGCCUCAUAUUCAAUUCUUUCUGAUCGAACAAGUACUUCAAACUCUUGGGAUCACUAAACACUUCAAAUCUCGAUCCAAACAAAUAAUGUCUCCAAAGCUUCAACACAAACACAACGGCGACCAACUCUAAAUCAUGCGUCGGAUAAUUCCUCUCAUGAACUUUAAGUUGCCUUGAAGCAUAAGCUACCACUUUCCCUUUUGCAUCAAAACACCUCCAAACCCAACAAAGAAGCUCACAAUACAAACGAAAGGUUCUAACGGAUCCGGUAAAAUCAAAUAGAGCUGUAGUCAAUCUUUCUUAAGCUCUUGAAAUUUCUUUCACACUGCGAAGGCCAAAAUGAAAGCUUGAUUUCCUAGUCAACUGCGUCAACGGUAACGACAACUUAGAAAAUCCUUCAAUGAACUUCUAUAAUAACCAGCCAAACCAAGGAAACUUCUAUCUCAGCAACAGACUUAGGAGCUUCCAUUGAGUACAGAUUCAAUCUUCGUAGGAUCACAGAAAUCCACUUGAAUAUCACAUGCCCAAGAAAACUUACUUCACUCAACCAAAAACUACAAUCUGAGAGUUUAGCAAACAACAUUCUUCUCUUUCAAACUGAUAAAACAACCUUCAAAUGCUCGGCGUUUGUUCCUCUUCAUUUAGAAAAUAAUAUUUCAUCGUAUGACACACAACAACAAACU
rnacentral:lncRNA from 1 species